AAACAAGUAGCUAAAAAUAGGAGUAAUAGCCUGCUAACGUUACCAGGCAACCGGAGAACAUACUGGGAGGGACCGAGUGGGCUCGCUCAUGCUGGGGAGUCUUUAGGACCAGAAUGGAGAAAUGGAUCUAACCCUGUGACCCUCUCGAAGCACAUAUGAUACAUGAGGGCCAUUCUGUAAUGCUGGAGAGCUGUCAGUUCCAGCAGGGGUGAGCUUUUUAAGUUGCCUAAAGGAAUAGCAAUCUGGUUUUCAGAUGAUUUUAUGAUGGAAGAUACUUUUCUGUUGCUGGUAUACAGUAGAUGAGC